rnacentral:lncRNA from 1 species
ACACCGAUGCGGCGCCGUAUCUAGGCCUCGGAUCCGUCUCUCUUACCGUUUUCUUAGACGGAAUAACUGCGAUAACACCAGCGUCAACGUCAUCUCUCGUAACCUCCACAUCAAGUAAUACACUCUCGCCCGCUUCUGAAUCAGGUGAGCUCUGAGAAGGUGGUGAUGCACAGUUCAUAAUAUCGUUCUCCUGUUUAUUACGAUUAUGAACCACCUCUUUAUCUUCCACCGCCGCAGCCGCAGUCUGAUGCAUCUCUGACGGAGAUAUCCUGCAUCGGUGAACGCCGAUCCUCCUCCUCCGGCUAGACCACGACGCUUCGUCCUCGUAACAAAUAUCCGUCAUCACAGAAUCAAUAGAAAAAAAUAACUCUCGGAUCGUCUUCGCACUAGAUUGUUGAUCGUCAAAUAUUAAUUUCCGAGAAAAAAAUGAAAAAUCUCUCUAAGAUAGUUUUCUUUUUAUUACAGAAAUCGAAUGGUUGUGUUGUGUAAAUUGUGUUAAGAUAGCAUGCAAUUGAUUGAAUAAAUAUCAUCGUUACACGUUACAAGGUAGGGGUCAUUUAUACACCCACGCGCCUACCGCUUCAUAAAUAUUUUAAAAUUCUUUUUUCAAAUUUCACUUUUUAACUUUGAUUUUUCUCCCCAUCUGCCUUCAAAAAAUCUUUACUCUAGCGACGUGACGUAUCGGUCUUGUGCCUAAAUAGAUUAAUCUUGACCGUUGAUCUUGUCACUACGCUGCUUAAAAUACACCACGUAAGCAUCAGUGUCAGGUAUGAGAUAUACGUGGUCCAAUGAGAAUGGAACAGAGCGGAAAGAGGAAGUUCCUUUCGCGCCACGAUCGUGGUCCACUAUUUUCUUUCUCUCUCGAAGACCUUAUUUUUCUUUUCUUCUUGUCCGAAUUGUCUCUGUGUGUCUCCCUAAAGAUGAAGGGUUUAAUCAACAAAAUGCUACUGUUUUCGAAAGUAAAAUUUUCUAGAAUUUACGUACUUAUUAAAAAAUUAAUAAAUAUUUAUAAUUUAUACCGUUUUCUUAGACGGAAUAACUGCGAUAACACCAGCGUCAACGUCAUCUCUCGUAACCUCCACAUCAAGUAAUACACUCUCGCCCGCUUCUGAAUCAGGUGAGCUCUGAGAAGGUGGUGAUGCACAGUUCAUAAUAUCGUUCUCCUGUUUAUUACGAUUAUGAACCACCUCUUUAUCUUCCACCGCCGCAGCCGCAGUCUGAUGCAUCUCUGACGGAGAUAUCCUGCAUCGGUGAACGCCGAUCCUCCUCCUCCGGCUAGACCACGACGCUUCGUCCUCGUAACAAAUAUCCGUCAUCACAGAAUCAAUAGAAAAAAAUAACUCUCGGAUCGUCUUCGCACUAGAUUGUUGAUCGUCAAAUAUUAAUUUCCGAGAAAAAAAUGAAAAAUCUCUCUAAGAUAGUUUUCUUUUUAUUACAGAAAUCGAAUGGUUGUGUUGUGUAAAUUGUGUUAAGAUAGCAUGCAAUUGA